CGCGGGGUGGAGCAGCCUGGUAGCUCGUCGGGCUCAUAACCCGAAGGUCGCGGGUUCAAAUCCCGCCCCCGCUA
rfam:Gemmatimonadetes bacterium GWC2_71_10 gwc2_scaffold_6454, whole genome shotgun sequence.